AUAGGAGAAGAGAGAAAUGUUCGGUUGCCAUCAGGCUGUUGACGUUCAUAUUAUCGUUAACAUUUACAGGACAUGACAGACUCAAACGAAGAGAUUACUACGCCACAGUGUCAGCAAUCCCAGCUGGCACAACAUCCGACCAUGUCGAAUGAACAGCAACAAAAUGUCACAGCAAGGCCACAUGACAUAUUGAGACAGCAGUUGAUGGAAAGACUUCUCACCAAACUGCAAUCAGCCUUGAACCAGCAACCACUAAAUGUGGAUUAUUUGGAGUUCAUGAGCUGAUUAUGUUUGAAUCGUUCCAUGAGCAGAUAGGAGGUGUAUCAGAGAUUACAGAAGCAAUACGAAACCUACAUCAUGUUGUCCGGUUGGAAAUUAACGCAAGCUCUAUGCCCAUUGUAGAACAGGAAACAGAAGUUGGUCCAGGUUCUGGUCAACCCAAAAUUGUGAUAGAGAGAGAAAAACUAACACAUUUGCUGAACACACAUCUGCCAGUCUCCUGCAUUGCAAAAUGCCUCUGCGUUUCAAGAAGAACGAUUUACAGGAGAAUGCAAGAAUUUGGCUUGUCUAUAAGAGGAUCAUACAGCACAAUGACUGACCAAGAACUUGACAACGUAAUUUUAGGUAUUAAAAGUCAGAUGCCAAAUGCUGGUUAUCGAAUGGUUCAAGGCCAUUUGGUUUCAAUGGGCCUCCGUGUUCAGUGGUGGAGAAUGAUGGCCUCUAUGCAUCGGGUUGAUGCUGCUGGGAUCUUCAGACGGAUCACAGAACUAGGGUGUGUUGUGCGAAGAAGUUAUUCCGUGCGAGGCCCUCUCUCCCUGGUCCACAUUGACACAAAUCAUAAACUGAUAAGGUACAAUAUUGUGAUCUUUGGUGGAGUGGAUGGCUACUCAAGGAAGAUCAUGUACUUGGAUGCUGCAACAAAUAACAGAGCAUCAACUGCAUACUCAUUCUUCCUGAGAUCAACCCAGCUUCAUGGCUUACCAUCAAGUGGAUGUUUUUUUACGUUUUUUUUAAACUAAUUGAUUACACUAAUAUACUAGAAACAAUAUCUUUCAUUUCAUCUACUGAAGUUAAAGUAAACCUUGUUAAAUUAAUUAUUCAAUUAUUUAUUAUUAAAAUGUAUUUUGAUCUUAGGGUAAGGGCGGAUCAGGGAGUCGAAAACGUGGACAUCACACAAUACAUGUUUGCCACACGGGGCACAGGAAGAGCCAGCUUUAUCUCUGGAAAGAGUGUCCACAAUCAGAGGAUAGAGCGACUUUGGCGUGACGUCUGGGUUGCAGUCAGCAGCAAGUACCAUGAUGUUCUUCACUCUCUGGAGGAAGAUGGUCUGCUUGAUAUCUCUGAUGUGGUUCACCUCUUUGGUGUGCACUACAUCUUUGUCCCUCGACUUCGAGCAGACCUUGACGCCUUUAUCCAAGGAUGGAAUAAUCAUCCUCUAAGGACAGAGGGAGGUCUCACUCCUGAACAUCUGUGGUGUAUGGGACAUCUACAAGAUCUAGACGAAGGGGAGAGACUUGAGGAACUUCAAGACCCAGGCAUCAACUGGGAGAGUACCAUACUGCAAGAAGACUCGAACGGGGCAGUUGUGGUUCCUGAAGUUGUGUGCCCCCUGGAUGACGAAGACCUAGAAGAACUUCAGAGAACUGUUGAUCCUCUGGAACAUUCUCAGUCACAUGGCCGUGACUUGUACACACGAUUCUUGCACAGUGUGUACAAUGACAAUUGAACGUGAACUUGUAAACUCACACAUUAGCUGAUUACAACAACCUUGGUUAACAUAUCUGUUGAGAAUACACAGAGCCAAACCAUUGCUCCUUAUUUGCCUUUCUGCUUGUCUGAUGUUUUGUUAAAAAACGUUGUAACAAUGUAUGCUUUCCCAACUAAUAAAAGCAUGACCAAGCAAGGAGGCAGAGGCAGAACGUCCAAAAAUGUAA